rnacentral:pre_miRNA from 1 species
AUAGGAUCUAGACCUGGCAUAUCUUCAUACGACCAUGCAAAAAUAUCCGGAUAUUCCCGGAGGAGUUGGAUGAUCUUCCGUUUAACCUCUUCCUCUAGAGUAGCACCAAUCUUGAUUUCUCGCUUGUUUUCCUCGGUACCUAUGUUGAUAAGCUCAAUCUCUUCUUGG